UCCUACGGGGGGCUGCAGUGGGGAAUAUUGCACAAUGGGCGAAAGCCUGAUGCAGCGACGCCGCGUGAGGGAUGACGGCCUUCGGGUUGUAAACCUCUUUCAGUAGGGAAGAAGCGAAAGUGACGGUACCUGCAGAAGAAGCGCCGGCUAACUACGUGCCAGCAGCCGCGGUAAUACGUAGGGCGCAAGCGUUAUCCGGAAUUAUUGGGCGUAAAGAGCUCGUAGGCGGUUUGUCGCGUCUGCCGUGAAAGUCCGGGGCUCAACUCCGGAUCUGCGGUGGGUACGGGCAGACUAGAGUGAUGUAGGGGAGACUGGAAUUCCUGGUGUAGCGGUGAAAUGCGCAGAUAUCAGGAGGAACACCGAUGGCGAAGGCAGGUCUCUGGGCAUUAACUGACGCU
rnacentral:rRNA from 1 species